rnacentral:rRNA from 1 species
GACGAACGCUGGCGGCGUGCUUAACACAUGCAAGUCGUACGGUAAGGCCCUUUCGGGGGUACACGAGUGGCGAACGGGUGAGUAACACGUGAGUAACCUGCCCACAACUUUGGGAUAACGCUAGGAAACUGGUGCUAAUACUGGAUAUGUGCUCCUGCUGCAUGGUGGGGGUUGGAAAGCUCCGGCGGUUGUGGAUGGACUCGCGGCCUAUCAGCUUGUUGGUGGGGUAGUGGCCUACCAAGGCGGCGACGGGUAGCCGGCCUGAGAGGGUGACCGGCCACAUUGGGACUGAGAUACGGCCCAGACUCCGACGGGAGGCAGCAGGGGGGAAUAUUGCACAAUGGGCGCAAGCCUGAUGCAGCAACGCCGCGUGCGGGAGGACGGCCUUCGGGUUGUAAACCGCUUUCAGCAGGGACGAAGCUUUUUGUGACGGUACCUGCAGAAGAAGCACCGGCUAACUACGUG